rfam:Erinaceus europaeus unplaced genomic scaffold scaffold01444, whole genome shotgun sequence
AACCCCUGGCCCUGGACAGAGAGACACCUAACUGAUGUUGCUCUUAUAUCAGCCAGGGGCAGAGCAGAUGCAGUCCUUUUUCCAUCCUAGCUUGAUGCCUGAAUUGGUGGCCAGAGCUGUUUCAUGCUUGGGGUACAUAA